rnacentral:rRNA from 1 species
GACGAACGCUGGCGGCGUGCUUAACACAUGCAAGUCGAACGGUGAAGCGCCUUCCUUUUUGGUGGGUGUGGAUGAGUGGCGAACGGGUGAGUAACACGUGAGUAACCUGCCCCCUUCUUCUGGAUAACCGCAUGAAAGUGUGGCUAAUACGGGAUAUUCUGGGUCUGUCGCAUGAUGGGUCUGGGAAAGAUAUUGUUUCGGUGGGGGAUGGGCUCGCGGCCUAUCAGCUUGUUGGUGGGGUGAUGGCCUACCAAGGCGGUGACGGGUAGCCGGCCUGGGAGGGUGGGCGGUCACAGUGGGGCUGAGACACGGCCCAGACUCCUACGGGAGGCAGCAGUGGGGAAUAUUGCACAGUGGGCGCAAGCCUGAUGCAGCGACGCCGCGUGAGGGAUGGAGUCCUUCGGGUUGUGAACCUCUUUCGCCAGUGAAGCAGGCCUGCCUCGUUUGUGGGUGGGUUGACGGUAGCUGGAUAAGAAGCGCCGGCUAACUACGUG